rnacentral:rRNA from 1 species
GCUUUUAGCUACCACUUACAGAUGGACCCGCGGCGCAUUAGCUAGUUGGUGAGGUAACGGCUCACCAAGGCGACGAUGCGUAGCCGACCUGAGAGGGUGAUCGGCCACACUGGGACUGAGACACGGCCCAGACUCCUACGGGAGGCAGCAGUAGGGAAUCUUCCGCAAUGGACGAAAGUCUGACGGAGCAACGCCGCGUGAGUGACGAAGGUUUUCGGAUCGUAAAACUCUGUUGUUAGGGAAGAACAAGUACCGUUCGAAUAGGACGGCACCUUGACGGUACCUAACCAGAAAGCCACGGCUAACUACGUGCCAGCAGCCGCGGUAAUACGUAGAUGGCAAGCGUUGUCCCGGAAUUAUUGGGCGUAAAGCGCGCGCAGGCGGUUUCUUAAGUCUGAUGUGAAAGCCCCCGGCUCAACCGGGGAGGGUCAUUGGAAACUGGGGAACUUGAGUGCAGAAGAGGAGAGUGG